AGUUAGCAUGUCGUGGCAUUGGAGAAGGCACCUAAAAUUAAAUUAGCAGGCUCUCCAAUGGACAAGACAAAUGAUCAAGAUAUGUUGAACUGUCAAGACAACCUGAUAAUUCUCAGUGUCACUGAGUGGCAGAUUAUCUUUAUCUUGUACUAUCUAGAAUUUUUAUGAUGCCCACUCAAACAAUUUUGCCUUUCACUGAUAUGAACACAUUUAACUGUCUACCUGUGUUAAGGACUGUUCAAGGUGCUGAACAUAAUAGGAACUCUCCUAGGUAGUAGGUUGGUAGACAGCAACCACCUAGGGAGGUACUACUGUCCUGCCAAGGUUGGUCCCACAGUACUACAGCUCUAAAGCCAGGGCCGGUUCCGUAGUUUUACGCCAUGAACUCAGCUCACUCAGGAGUUGACAAAACAACAUGGAUAACAUUAUCUGCAAACUGCGUUAUAAUUGUAUCAUUAAACUCUGGUUGAGGAAGAUCAUUCACAUAAAUGUUGAAUAGAAUUGGACUAAGACAAGAACCUUGUGGGACACCAGCUGUCAGUAUAAAAGGCUCUGUUGUCUUUCCAUGAAAGGUAGGAAUGAUUUUUCUUUCAGUUAAGAAGUAAUAUAUAAAUCUGAGAAAUGUCAAGUUAUGGUCAGGUAGGUCAAUAAGUUUGUA